GAAAUGCGAUAAGUAAUGUGAAUUGCAGAAUUCCGUGAAUCAUCGAAUCUUUGAACGCACAUUGCGCCCUCUGGUAUUCCGGGGGGCAUGCCUGUCCGAGCGUCAUUGCGAACCCCUCAAGCACGGCUUGUGUGAUGGGCCCUCCCGCGUCUUGGUCGUCAAGACGGGCCCGAAAUGCAGUGGCGGCUUCGCGGUUAUCCGAUCAGCCAGAGCGUAUGGGGACUUUCUCUCUGUCACACGCCCGCGGCGCGGACCGACGCCUGUCGACCUUCAUUCAUCGUUUUCUCGGUUGACCUCGGACCAGGUAGGGAUACCCGCUGAACUUAAGC
rnacentral:misc_RNA from 1 species